rnacentral:lncRNA from 1 species
CAAAAACCUCAGUUCAUGCACAGAAUUUUAGUUUCCACAUGAAGUUACACAUUAAUAUGGCAGUUUCUUAGAAAAAAUAAUCUGGCUAUCAGUACAUUUUGGAGUUUUUCACAUAUACUCUACCUAUUAUUUUUGUAAUUGAAAGAAUGUACAUGAAAUUUAUAAUUUUUAUAAAUAUUACCAAAUUUGUAUUCUGAAUAUCACUCUUUAGUAAUAUAAAGACUUAUAUUCUUGAAUAUUUUUAUAGCUACAUAGCACUCUACCAUGUAUGAUAGUUUAUAUAAAUGGUCUCCUGAUGGAAUCAAUUUUUAAUGGAGUUUCUACACUGAAGAACUCUGUUAUAUGAUGAAACAAUUUCCUAUGGUUGUUUUUUUCUCAUCCAUAAGUUACCUUUCAAUUUUUCGGAACCACUGUAAGCCCACAGCUCAAUGUCACUGGCUACAUGUGCAUUAUGUGCAGCCGUCACCACCAUCCAUUCCCACAAAUUUGUCAUCAGAAACAGAAACUCUGUCCCCAUUAAACACUUUCUUCAUAUUUACCCUUUCGAACACUGUUUUGAGGUAACUAUGGAGUUCAAACCCUAGUUAGUGCCUUGUCAGAGUAUUAACAUGGAUAGAGCCAGUCUCUGCCUUGACAGGCAUCUGCUCAGAGUAGAUAUGAAAAAUUGAAAGGUAACUUAUGGAUAGAAAAAAACAAUCAGAGAAUUGUUUAAUCUUACAACAGAGUUCUUCAGUGUAAAAAGUCCAUUAAAAACUUGAUUUCCAUCAGGAGGUUAUUUAUAUAAACUUCAGUACAACCACACAUGCAGUACUAUAUAAGCUAUAAAAAAGAAUUAAGAAUAUCUCUUUAUACUACUAUAGAGUGAUACUAGUAAUGUUAAAAAGUCUCUAACAGCUUUAUUGAUAUAUAAUUCUUAUUAAAAACUACAGCCAUUUAAUGUAUACAAUUUGAUGAGUUCAGACAUAAGCACACACCCGUGGUAGCCUAUGCUCAAGGUAAUAAACAUGAUAAAACACACCCAUCACCUCCAGUAGUUUCCUUGUGUCCUUUUUUGUUUUUUUUUCAGGGUAGGAAUGCUUAACAUGAGCUCUACCCUCUUAAAUUUUUAAGUGCACAAUACUGUGUGGUUAACUAUAGGCAAAAAAAAAAAAUCAUCAUCAUUAAAAUUUAGAGGGGAAAUUAUAUAUAGGGGACAAGGUUAUAAGGUAAACGUCCAAUUUAAUUUGUUUUAUAAUUUGGCUUUAGAAGCAUGUGAAUACAGUCAACCUUCCAUAUCCAGGAUUUCUACUCGAGUAGAUUCAACCAGCUUCUGAUUGAAAAUGGUGUAAAUGUUAUGGUUUGGGUAUGGAAUGUCCCUGAAGUCUCAUUUGAAGGCUUGGUCUCCAAAGCAGCAAUGUUCAGAGGUGGGAUUUCAGGAAAUGUUUGGAUUAUGAGGGCACUAACCCUGUCAAAGGGUUAGUUAAUCUUGACUGAAUAGACAAUGAGAGGUACAGGAGACUAUAGGAGAGGGGACUUAUUUAGAGGAGGUGGGUCACUGGGGGUGUGCCCUGGAAGGGUUUAUCUUGUCCCUGGCCCCUUGCUCACUCGCGGACUCUCUGCUUCCCAGCUGCCAGGAGCUGAGCAGCUUUCCUCCACCACGACCAUUACCAUCAUGUUCUGCCUCCCCACAGCCCAAAGCAAUGGAGCCAGCCAACCAUGGAUUGAAACCUCUGAAACUGUGAGCCAAAACCAAUCUUUGAGGGUCAGGGUUGUGGCUCAGUGGUAGAACACUUGCCUAUUAUGUGUAAGGCACUGGGUUCUAUCCCUGGCACCACAUAAAAAAAUAAAUAAAUAAACGUAUUGUGUCCAUCUCCAAAAAAAAAAAACAAAAAACACUUUGCUGCUCUAAGUUGUUCUUGUGAGGUAUUUUGGUCAUAGGGUGUUUGUGUAAACACUAUACCAUUUUAUGUAAGGUAUUGAAGGAUUCACAGAUUUUGGUAUUUGGGGGUGGGGUUCCUAGAACCAAUGACCCAUGGGACAACUUAAUUAUUAAUUUAAUAAUUACAUAAUUAUUAAGAUGGAUUUUUAUUUAUUUAUUACAUACAUGACAUUAGUGGAAUGCAUUACAUUCAUAAUUAUCCAUUCACAGCACGAUUUUUCGGAACUGUAUAUAAAGUAGAAUUGUAAUGCGAAAAUAAAUAAAUAAAUAAAAUUUUUGAUUCCUAAAAAUCGAAAGCACAAUGAAAUAAAUGAACCCCUAGUCAUAUAUCAAUUUGGUGACAUAAAUACAGAAUGGAAUUAUUUCAAACAACUUUGAAAUACAGGAACUUCUUAGUGGCAUGUACUCUAAGGAUAAAAGGGGUGACAAUAAAUAAAUAAUUG